rnacentral:rRNA from 1 species
GAUGAACGCUGGCGGCGUGCCUAAUACAUGCGAGUCGAGCGAACAGACGAGGAGCUUGCUCCUCUGACGUUAGCGGCGGACGGGUGAGUAACACGUGGAUAACCUACCUAUAAGACUGGGAUAACUUCGGGAAACCGGAGCUAAUACCGGAUAAUAUAUUGAACCGCAUGGUUCAAUAGUGAAAGACGGUUUUGCUGUCACUUAUAGAUGGAUCCGCGCCGCAUUAGCUAGUUGGUAAGGUAACGGCUUACCAAGGCGACGAUGCGUAGCCGACCUGAGAGGGGGAUCGGCCACACUGGAACUGAGACACGGUCCAGACUCCUACGGGAGGCAGCAGUAGGGAAUCUUCCGCAAUGGGCGAAAGCCUGACGGAGCAACGCCGCGUGAGUGAUGAAGGUCUUCGGAUCGUAAAACUCUGUUAUUAGGGAAGAACAAAUGUGUAAGUAACUAUGCACGUCUUGACGGUACCUAAGCAGAAAGCCACGGCUAACUACGG